GACGAACGCUGGCGGCGUGCUUAACACAUGCAAGUCGAGCGGAAAGGCCACUUCGGUGGUACUCGAGCGGCGAACGGGUGAGUAACACGUGAGUAAUCUGCCCCUGGCUUUGGGAUAGCCACCGGAAACGGUGAUUAAUACCGGAUACGACCACUUCUCGCAUGGGAUGGUGGUGGAAAGUUUUUUCGGCCAGGGAUGUGCUCGCGGCCUAUCAGCUUGAUGGUGAGGUAAUGGCUCACCAUGGCUUCAACGGGUAGCCGGCCUGAGAGGGUGACCGGUCACAGUGGGAAUGAGACACGGCCCAGACUCCUACGGGAGGCAGCAGUGGGGAAUAUUGGACAAUGGGCGGAAGCCUGAUCCAGCAACGCCGCGUGAGGGAUGACGGCCUUCGGGUUGUAAACCUCUUUCAGCAGGGACGAAGCGCAAGUGACGGUGCCUGCAGAAGAAGCACCGGCCAACUACGUACCAGCCGCCGCCGUAA
rnacentral:rRNA from 1 species